GGAGUUAGCCGGUGCUUCUUCUGCGAGUAACGUCACAGAUGUAAGGUAUUAACUUACACCCUUUCCUCCUCGCUGAAAGUGCUUUACAACCCGAAGGCCUUCUUCACACACGCGGCAUGGCUGCAUCAGGGUUUCCCCCAUUGUGCAAUAUUCCCCACUGCUGCCUCCCGUAGGAGUCUGGGCCGUGUCUCAGGUCCCAGUGUGGCUGAUCAUCCUCUCAGACCAGCUAGGGAUCGUCGCCUAGGUGAGCCUUUACCUCACCUACUAGCUAAUCCCACCUGGGCUUAUCCAUCAGCGCAAGGCCCGAAGGUCCCCUGCUUUCCCCCGUAGGGCGUAUGCGGUAUUAGCAGUCGUUUCCAACUGUUAUCCCCCACAAAUGGGCAAAUUCCCAGGCCAUUACUCACCCGUCCGCCGCUCGUCAUCUUCAAAGCAAGCUUUUGAAACUGUUACCGCUCGACUUGCAUGUGUUAGGCCUGCCGCCAGCGUUCAAUCUGAGCCAGAAUCAAACUCUGA
rnacentral:rRNA from 1 species